CUACGGGUUGCUGCAGUGAGGAAUAUUGCACAAUGGGGGGAACCCUGAUGCAGCAACGCCGCGUGGAGGAUGACGCAUUUCGGUGUGUAAACUCCUUUUAUAUGUCAAGAAAAUGACGGUAGCAUAUGAAUAAGCACCGGCUAACUCCGUGCCAGCAGCCGCGGUAAUACGGAGGGUGCAAGCGUAACUCGGAAUCACUGGGCGUAAAGGACGCGUAGGCGGGUUGGAAAGUCAGGUGUGAAAUCCUACAGCUGAACUGUAGAACUGCACUUGAAACUUCUAAUCUAGAGUAUGGGAGGGGGAGAUGGAAUUAGUGGUGUAGGGGUAAAAUCCGUAGAUAUCACUAGGAAUACCUAAAGCGAAGGCGAUCUCCUGGAACAUUACUGACGCUAAGGCGUGAAAGCGUGGGGAGCAAACAGGAUUAGAUACCCCUGUAGUC
rnacentral:rRNA from 1 species